GUUCCAUGUGAACAGCAGUUGGACAUGGGUCAGUCGAUCCUAAGAAAACGGCGAAAGCUUGUUCGAAUUUACGACAUAAAAUUUAAAACUGUGUGUGUGUGCAAAAGAAAGUAGUGUAGUGUUUCGAUAGCAGUAGUGGUGGUGGUGGUGUGCCGUCGCCGAAACUACUUUUGCUGUUGUUGCGUUGCUACUACUAUCUUAAUAUUUUUGUUCUGUGUGCAGUUGUCGUAUGUUUUCG
rnacentral:rRNA from 1 species